CACGUAGGAGGCGAACGUUAUCCGGAAUUGCUGGGCGUAAAGCGCACGUAGGCGGCAUCGUAAGUCCGACGUGAAAGCUCCUGGCUUAACUGGGAGAGGCCGUUGGAUACUGCGAAGCUCGAGGUUGGGAGAGGAGAGUGGAAUUCCCGGUGUAGUGGUGGAAUGCGUAGAUAUCGGGAGGAACUCCAGUGGCGAAAGCGACUCUCUGGCCUACACCUGACGCUAAAGUGCGAAAGCGUGGGUAGCGAACAGG
rnacentral:rRNA from 1 species